AGAACAAAGAUCAUGUAAUGAGGAAAAAAUAUCUCGAGAAAGAAAACUAUACACACCUAACUUGGUAGAAAGACAUGAGAUGGUUCAGAGAUGAAACAUACACAGGUGAUAAAGCAGGUUGUAACCAAAUUACUUAUAUGGGAAACAUUAGAUCAUGUGUUUUACUUUAAUGCUUGCAAUUAUCUAAUUGAAUUAAUAUUGUCUUGAAUCUACAAGGUCCUCUCAGAGAUCUAAAUUAUUUGCUUAAAUUGGAGAUCAGCAGUCUUAUAUGCUUACUAUAAGUUUAACUUCAGCCAAAUCUGGUUUAAAUUAAUUCGACCACCGGUGGGACUCCCAUGGAGAAAUUGGAACAACCCCGGCCUAUAGGAUUUAAAGUUGCCAUUUAGGCCAUUUAAAACCUUGUUUACCGUUGUCUCUAGAGAGACAAGAGAAGCGACUGGACUUUAUCCCCUCGAGAAAUGGCCUAUAUGGCAACUUUCUCCCAGCUACACUGUCAUUAUCUUAACUACAAACAUUAAUAAGAAUGUCAACUUCCAAUAUCUCUUCGUUCUUUACUCCAUACUUCUACUCAAUUUUGAAUUGCCUGCACAUAUUUUAUGAUAACAAACAUGAGAUAGUACAAUCAGCGUACUCAAGCCCAUCCAAUUACGGAGGAGUCGAGACACACCAAUAAGUCUGG
rnacentral:lncRNA from 1 species